CAGGCUCCCCAACAAUUUAUUUCUUAAACUAAGUCUGUAAUACCAUUGUUACCUAUCUAGAAAUUCUGGAAGUUAAGACCUACAGAAAGUAAAUCUUG